rnacentral:rRNA from 1 species
AGAAUCAACGCUGGCGGCGUGCCUAACACAUGCAAGUCGAACGAGAAAGUGGAGCAAUCCAUGAGUAAAGUGGCGUACGGGUGGAGUAACACGUGACUAACCUACCCUCGAGUGGGGAAUAACCUCGGAAACCGGGCUAAUACCGCAUAACAUCUACGGAUCAAAUGCGUAAGCAGCUUGAGGAGGGGUCGCGGCCGAUUAGCUAGUUGGCGGGGUAAUGGCCCACCAAGGCAAUGAUCGGUA